rnacentral:lncRNA from 1 species
GGAUGCGGAGGCCGAUGUUGGCGCCGGGGACGCGGCGGGAGUCGACGAGGGGGGCGUUGGCGGGGGUGGUGACGACGGUGGCGGCGACGCCACCGCGGGCGGCGAAGAGGUUGGCCAUGUCCACCAUGGGAGGCAUGUGGCCCAUAGCCAUGAAAGGGAAGAACACGACGUGCAGGGGACGUCGAGCUAAAUAAUCCGAGCUCUCCAUGGUCGCAGUUGUAUGUAUUUCACACACACACAUACACACACACGCACACACUCUCUCUCUCUCUCUCUCUCUCUCUCUCUCUUGUGUGUGCGGUAUGCACUAUUACAAUGGGAGUGAGUAAUAAUGGAGCCUCUAAAUACAGGAAUAGUUCGUAAUCAAAUUGUUGUAGAACCUUGGGAUGCGAUAAUGACCCAAUUUAAUGUCUGAAACAACCCCUGAAAAUCUCUCCCGUUGCAUUUAUAAUUAUACUGGAAUAGUUAAUAUAUAUAAAUUUAAAAUGUUUAUUAUUUGAUUUGAUGCGUUUAAAUUUAACUAUAAAUAGAAGAUAAGCUCACUUAUCUAAUCACUUUUUAAUGUAAAAAAAGAUUAAAAGGCAUACUAUAGUGAAUUGUAAAUAUAUUUCAACAAAGUUCAACUUUCCUAUAUAGUUGCUAUAAAAAUACUACAACAGAAUUAGGUUAUAAAAAUACAUGUUUGAGACACUUUUGUGUAAAUGUCUCAUUUAUAUCAAAACUUUAAAAAAAAUCUACUAAUGACUAAAUAUAAAGUUCAAUCCAACAAAAAAUAAAAGGUUACUCUACUCAACCACCUCAUCCAGCCCAUUCGGUCCGAUUACAAACAGAAAUUAAAAAAAAAAGAAAAAAGAUUACCAUAUCCCAUUCUUCUCUCACUCAAUUUACUGAAAUUCUAGACGAAAAUCCUUUCCUCUCGUCCUCCUCCGCCACCGCAGCCAACGAGGUAGAGUCCCGGCUGUUGCUAAAUGAUUAAAUAAGUGUUGGUAAAUUAGCAGCACUCUUUUUAAAUUAUAGCGACACUCUUUAACUGCUAUUAUAUAGCUAGCGACCCAACGUAUAGCAACACUUUUUAAAAGUGUCGGUAAUUUAGCCAGCAGCACUUUUUUUUACAUGUACCGAUAUUUAAAAGUGUCGCUAUGUACCGUUUUUGUUGUAGUGAAAUUUUAAUAUUUUCAAAUAUAUCUCUCUGAUUUGAUACCGUUAUAUAAUUGUUUAUAUUUUAAGUGAAAUGUCAUUUUUGUCAUCACAAGUAUGCUCCUUUAAAGCUACAAAAGUAUAAUACAAGAGGGACAAAAAUUCGAGUUAUUUCAUAAACUAAUUAGGAUUAAGCAUUUAACCUAUAGUUAAACUAAAGUUUUUUAACGGAUUUUAAUAAUAGAGACAUAUUUGAAAAUAUUAGAAAUUUUGCAGGAACAACAUAUAAAAGUUGAAAUUUAUAGAGAUAUAUUUGAAAUUUACUAUAUUUAUAGAAAUCUGUAUAAAAUUAACCCUAAAAAAACUGUAUUUUUAUAUUAGAGAUGAUUUUACCAUCAUAUAUAUAUAUAAUGAUAAAAUUUUAGAAAUGUACUUUUCAAUUGCAUACAACUAAAUAAAUUAUUUAUAGCUAAAAUACUUAUGAUUACAUCCAGCUAAAUAAGAUAUAUAUAGUUAUAACUGUUAUAUUUUUCAAAUUUAUGCAUCUUCAAUGGCAAUGUAUUUUUAAUUAUAUCUAACUAAAUAGCCUUUUAGCACAGUUUGUUAAGGUGGUAUCUGAGAUACAAAUUUCGAAUUUUAGUUGUUUAUAUAUAUAUAUAUAUAUAUAUUAAAAAAAAAGCGGGUACCUUUAUUAUUUUUUUAUGUAGUGCAGACUUAGGGAUGAUAGAUUGCUUGUAAUUUUUCCGUCAAAAUAUUUGUUUGCUAACAAAAUAUAAAAAUUUAGAAAUAAUUUUUUUUCCUUCUAAAUUUUUUUUAUUUAUUAAAUAAAAUAUCAUUCAUCAUUUAGCUGGGAUGUGUUACAACUUAAUUAAAUCCGGACAAUAUAAAAGAAAUUCCGCCAAUAUAUUAAAUGUUAUAAAAUUAAUAUUAAAAAAAAGGAAUUUGUGAUGCAAACAAGUGUGAAAAUUUAGUAGUGGCUGAAGCAUUUUACAUUGUUGUAAUAGCCUUUAAAUAAUAAAAAAAAAGGAAAAAAUUUAGGAGGUGUUAUGCCCCUACAAUAUUAUAUGCGGGUUCCAAAAUGGCCACGUCAAUUUUAUUUUUAGGUUAAUUUGCAAAAUACCUCGUGCAUUCAAAAGCGAGUUGACUAUCGCAUAAUUGAUUAAAUUGCGUGUUUAAAUCAUUAUAUAGAUAAAACAUUGAUCAAUCCUUAACUGUCGACCUCCGGUCCAUUAAUUCUUGAAUAAGGUUUGCUAGAUCCACGUAAGACGAGCCACCCGGCUCCAUUGCCCUCUUCGCGGCCUCUCCUAGCUCUCUUGCGCGCCUCCGCGUCUCCGCCGCUUCCUCUCCUAGGCCUCCGCCAAUAGCCUUCCUUACCACGGUCUCGAUUUGCGCGCCCUCUAUCACUGGCCUUUCAGAGGAGAGAAGGGCGAACUCCGUCGCCCUGACCGACACGCCGAUCCGGAGUGCGUCGACGAUGAGCCUCUCGUUGAAGAACUGCUUGGCGUAGAGCGGCCACGCGACCAUCGGCACGCCGGCGACGACCCCCUCAAGACAUGAGUUCCAGCCGCAGUGGGUGACGAACCCCUCGACCGACGGGUGGGCCAGUAUCAGUGUCGCAGGGACCACCCCUUCAGUACUAGGCCCCUAUCCUCCACUCGUUCCCUGAAUCCACGUCGCAGCCAUUCAGCAUCAUCGUCGUCAGAAUCCCUGACGACCCAAAUAAAAGGAUAGUCGGACGCUUCGAGGCCAAAAGCCAGCUGGGCCAGCUGGGCUGCCUCGAGCCGACCCAUGCUCCCGAAGCACACGUAGAGAACCGAACCGGGCUGGUUCUGAUCGAGCCAUUCUAGAAGGUAAGAACUCGACCCGGUUGGUUCAUGUGCCUGCUCUUUUCGUUCUUGUGCUUCGUUUUCCUCUUUUUGUUUUUCUUUCGGGCGGAGUCUCUUCUGAAGGAGGGCUCCGUCCCGACCGAAGAGUGCGAUGGGGCCCACGUGCCACGCGCGGUGCCCCAUCGUCUCUCUAAAGUGGCGGACGUAGUCGGGCUCGAGCUCGUAGUUGUUCACCACCGCGCCGUAGCUCCGCCCCUCCGUAGCCGUGAUCUCGCCGAGCAAUUCUCGGAACGCGGGGAGCAACUUGCCGGCGUCCUGCAUUUGGGAGCGAAGCAUCACCACCCGGCGGGGGAGGCCGUUGAGGACGACGAUGUCGCCGCCGUCGAGCGGGGUGGCAGGGGCGGCGAUGGCGCAGAGGGAGAAGAAGCUGGUGCCAUGGAAGACGAGGCGGGGGAUGCCGAGCUCCUCGGCUACAGGGAUCGUCCAGGGGAAGAAAUAGUCGGAGACGACGGCAUCGACCGGCCGUAUCUCGCAGAGGAGGCGGCUAAAAGGCUCACGGAGUCUGGGCACGGCGGCCGUGAACCUUCAUGAAUAGAUAAUUCAUUACUAAUUUUUUGCUCGCUUUGAUAUCAUAUAGAGAAACUGAGUAUUCUAUGCAGAUAUAAAUAUAUAUAUAUAUAUAUAUAUAUAUAUAUAAUAUAUAAUAUAUAUAUACUAUAAACUAUAUGAGCCUCAAUACUUUUGCACGUGGCAUGUUAUUCUUACUUCUCAUAGCCAACUUUAAAUCAAACCAUCUUCUCCUCUUUCAACUCUCAAUCUUCACCUCCCACUCCUCUAAUUAUAUGUAAGUUACAACAUUUAAUUAUAGUAACUUUAAAUCCAACUUUAAAUCAAACCACCUUCUUCUUUUUCUUAACGCCUAACUCACCUCACCAAUACUCUAAUUACAUGCAAUAUUUAAUUACAUGCACGAUUCUAUUUUAUAACUUAACCACUUUCCUCCUCCAUUAAUCUCUCACUCCCUCUCUUUGUAUUCUUUACAUGCACCACUCCCCUCCUCCAUUAAUUAAUCUCCUACCCCCUCUCUUUUGUAACUCUUUUACAUGCACCAUAAAAAAUUUCAUCGUAUCUACACUCCGCCACUCAUCUCCCUCUUUCUCUAUUGUGUUACAAAGAAGAAGAAAUAAGAAUAGAGCACUGUAAGAAUUCUCCUCAAAAGUAUCGUCCCGCAGCCGAGCCGCGACCUAUAUAAGUGCUUGCUAAGUCGGUCCCGCGGGGCCUCUGCUUACUAUGUAAAUUUAGUCAUACAAAUUAACUGUACUUAAUAUGUAUAGCUUUCUAUAUAUCAUAAAUCGUAAAUAUAAAAUAUUAAAAUUUUUAAUUUAUUUCUAUUAUCUACCCGCCUGCAUCGCGUGGGUCUCUGCACUAGUAUAUUUAUAGUAUGGCUACUGUGCUUAUAGGAACACAACAGUUUUGCUGCUCCUAACUUUCUAACAGCCCAUCAAGUUUGAUGGGUGUUAGAAUGAGAAAGAAAGAGAUAUUUAGAAAUUCAAGGCAAAAGAGAAAUGAGACAUUCAAUUUCUCCCAAAUAUCUCAUUCCUCUUUCAUUCUAACCAUCAUCAAACUUAAUGAGUGGUUAGAAAGUUAGAAGCACAAAGAUUACUGUGCUCCUCAUAGCGCAAGUAGCCCUGCUAUAUAUAUUAUAUAUAUAUAUAUAUAUAUAUAUAUAUAUUUUAUAUUAUAUAUAUAUAUAAUAUAUAUCUAAUUAUAGUUGGACUGGGCUACUAUUACUAGCAAAAUUUUAUUAUUGCUACCAGUUUUUUAGCCUUUGGAUCAACUCUUUUCAUUAUUUCUAACCAUUGGAUUAAAUACUAUAACCCAGUGGGGACCACUCAACCCUAGGGCGACGACUAAACUCUAACCGAUUAAUAUUAUCCUGACUCUACAAUUUUUCAUCCAAGGGUUAAAAACUUGAUAGCAAAAAAAACGUUUUACUAUUAAUAGUAUUCCAGCCUAAUUCUAUAUAUAUAUAUAUAUAUAUAUAUAUAUAAACCUGUUAAUGGAGUCUAAGUCGGCGAGGUCGGCGAGGUUCUCGACGCCGGGGGGAGGCCGGUGAGAGCGGGGGAGGGGAAGGGGAGGAUGCGGAGACUGAUGUUGGCGCCGGGGAGGCGGCGGGAGUUGACAAGGGGCACGUUGGCCGGGGUGGUGACCAUAGUGGCGGCGACGCCGCCGCGGGCGGCGAAGAGGUUGGCCAUGUCCACCAUGGGAGGCAUGUGGCCCAUAGCCAUGAAAGGGAAGAACACGACGUGCAAGGGACGUCGAGCUAAAUAAUCCGAGCUCUCCAUGGUCACAGUUGUAUGUAUUUUU